rnacentral:lncRNA from 1 species
AAAUUGUUAGAAGAGUCAACAGGUUCCUUGAUAACCUUUCAGUGUAUAGUUUAUCAGUGUGAUUCAUUCCCUCAUCAUAUAUCACGAAAAUUAUAAGAGUAUGGUGUAGUGUCUACUCUUUUUUAUCUCCAUAUUCAUUCUUCAAGUUUGAUCAUUGGCUUUAUAGAGACUUAUGAAACUCUUUUUCAUAAUCUUUAAAUCACCUUGGCCAAGGACUUCAACAAGCUAAUAUCAACCAAGAACUGUUAGGAUAUGUCCUUUAAUUCACUUGCGGUGAUGAUUCCUUUCUUGACCACUCAUUUGCCUUCACAUGCUUCACGCUAUACUCGAAAGCAUCUUGUGUUGGCAUCCUGUGUUGGUAGUUGGCAUCCUUUAUUAGGCACCCGUAAGGAUGAAAUCAAAGCAUAGCAUUCCACAAAUAAGACAACCUAGUGUCUCAAGUUUAAGGAAUAUUUACACAUGAAAAGUAUCGCAAAGACACUUGAGUGAAAUACUAAAUGCACUUCUCAUGGCAGGUCAUGUUUAGUAAACUUGUUCUUUUAGUCAAGCACAUCUAUUCUAGUUUCAAGUAUCUCUAUACUUCAACCUAUGAGAUCGGUUUCCUAAUUCCCAAGUAAGAGACAUAGAAUGUACCAGUCUCAACAAUACAUUGACCUAGAACAUUUAGAGAUUAUGCUUUGAUGCAUAGGGAUUUCAUAAUUACAACCCAUUACAGUUCCCUCGCAAGGCAUAUUAAUCUCAUGGAUUUCAUCUAAUUAGAUUUAUAAUUGUCACAGCCCAAUUCCCGGGCCAUGACCAGUGCAAGGACCCAAUGGGCUUAGCCCACUAAGCCUAAGCAAGCCUACUAAAUUGAUCUUAUACAUUAAUCCCUAUUCCUUUAGAAUCCGAAAUUUGUAAUGUUCAAAUACCGUUCCUUUGAAAACAAUUCAUAAAACCCAAUCAUGCAUUUAUAAUGGUAUCAUCAACCAUUAUAUUCAUAUAUAGAUUAACAAAUGAUUCUUAGUAUUUCACAACAAGUAUUCAUAUGCACAUGAUUAAACCUUGACUAUCAGCAGAGUGACUCUGGGCACAGUUACUAACAUUUAGUGCCACGUUAAAGCUACUGAGCAAUGGAUAGGGAUGAGCACCUUGUCCUAGGAUCCAAUCACCUUUAACUCAGGAAACCUAAAACAUGAAUUUUAAAAACGUGAGUAUAAACUUAGUGAGUGAACAUAGGAAGGGAACAAGCAACGUCAAGGAAUGUUUAGAAAUCAUGAUGCACUUGUUUUGAAAACAAUGCAAUUUAGUUUAAUUUCUUUCUUAAACCCCUUGUUUCGAACAUUGAUUAGUAAACUCUUAGUGUUGCAAAGACCCAUGCUCAAUCGUGAAGAUAGAGGAGUGAAAAAAAAUUAUAUCAGAACCCAAGCAAGGUAGCAACGUGACAGCACGUUUCUCACUGCAAUNNNNNNNNNNNNNNNNNNNNNNNNNNNNNNNNNNNNNNNNNNNNNNNNNNNNNNNNNNNNNNNNNNNNNNNNNNNNNNNNNNNNNNNNNNNNNNNNNNNNNNNNNNNNNNNNNNNNNNNNNNNNNNNAUAUAUAUAUAUAUAUAUAUAUAUAUAUAUAUAUAUAAAAACACGAAUACCACCACCUCACUCAGCCAAUGUGCACUGCCUACACACACAUCAUAGUCGGCAUGUGCACUGCCCACUCCGCACAUGCACGGUUGUAAUUGUCACAACAUUUUCAUUCAACUGGCAUGUGCGCUGCCCACUCCGCACAUACAGGUACAUAGAUUCAUCACAAUCAUGUUCCACCUCACAAAAACAUUUCACUAAAGGCUUCUUCCCAUGCAUUUUUAUAGAAAAACAAUUAAAAUGUCUCAAUUAACCACAUGUGCCUUACUCCCAAAACAAUUUAUGCAAGUUCACUCACUUUACUAUAGUGGGAUAUUACAUCGCUAUUUGAUCGGAGGUGUCUCUAACUAUUUUCACUAGCCGGUCACUCGUCAUUUACUCCGGCAUGCCACCACAGUACUCUAACCUUAUCUUUGUACUUCCUAACAAUAAUACGAACUCAAUAUAUUUAAUUAUAUAUGUAUACGGGCAGCACUUCAAUCAAUUAAUCCUUACUCAAAUUUAUAUUUUUUAUCUUAUCAUGAAACCAUCUUCAAUUAACUCACAUCUUAAUACAUUUUUACUAAAAUUACUUAUAUCCAUUGCGUAUGUAAUUCCUUAGAUUAUAUCACCGGCAAUUUAUUUAUGAUGCCACAUGCCUACUUCAACCUUUCUAAAUAAUUUUUGCCCAAAUCCAUCUUAUAUUUCCACACAUAAUCCACAUAUAUGGUAGCAACAAUCAUUCUCACUUUCACUCGAUUAUUUCCUAGUUUACAUGCAUCGUUAUCUAUCUAACUUUCAAUACUUUGUUUCUCAAUCCUCCCUCCACAAUAUUCCUUUUUCAUUUCUUUCAAACAACAUGCCAUACAAUCUUAAUAAUUUUCAAAUAGCUUAGGCAAAUAGAUCCUUUCAACAACCAUAAUUCCUCACAAUAUUCAACUAACCGUAGGCUUUAAAAUAUAAUGUUAAGCUUACCGUUUUCCUUUUCCACUUUGAGUCCUUCAUGUACCCAGGGGUUUAUUGGCUUACAUGUUACCAAUUUUUCUCCAAUCAAGCCAAUCUUUGGUGCCACAAGACAUUUCUCUAAGUCACUAACUCAUUUUCAAAGACUACUCAAGCCAAAAAUAAGAAUUCUUAUCGUUCCUUGCUUGAAUCAUCAAAAUCAAGCUUUUUCUUUCUUUUCCUCCUAGGGUUUAGGUGUGCUAAAAAUUGGGGUUAAAGGCUGUAAAUUUAAUGCUCAAGAAGUUUGGAGAAGAAAGGAAAAGAAAACAUGGAAAGGAAAGUGAAGAAAACUUGAUUUCAUAGUGGACAAGGAGAAAAUGGCAUGGAAGCUUCAAGAAUGAAGAAGUUGCUGGAAGCUGAUGGAA